GAAAUGCGAUAAGUAAUGUGAAUUGCAGAAUUCAGUGAAUCAUCGAAUCUUUGAACGCACAUUGCGCCCACCAGUAUUCUGGCGGGCAUGCCUGUCCGAGCGUCAUUUCAACCAUCGAGCCCCCGGGCUUGUGUUGGGGACCUGCGGCUGCCCGCAGGCCCUGAAAACCAGUGGCGGGCUCGCUGUCACACCGAGCGUGGUAGCAAUCACCUCGCUCAGGGCGUGCUGCGGGUUCCGGCCGUUAAACAGCCUUACAAAACCCAAGGUUGACCUCGGAUCAGGUAGGAAGACCCGCUGAACUUAAGC
rnacentral:misc_RNA from 1 species